rnacentral:rRNA from 1 species
AUUGAACGCUGGCGGCAUGCUUUACACAUGCAAGUCGAACGGUAACAGGGAGCUUGCUCCGCUGACGAGUGGCGAACGGGUGAGUAAUAUAUCGGAACGUACCCAAGAGUGGGGGAUAACGUAGCGAAAGGUACGCUAAUACCGCAUACGAUCUAAGGAUGAAAGCAGGGGACCUUCGGGCCUUGUGCUCCUGGAGCGGCCGAUAUCUGAUUAGCUAGUUGGUGAGGUAAAGGCUCACCAAGGCGACGAUCAGUAGCUGGUCUGAGAGGACGACCAGCCACACUGGAACUGAGACACGGUCCAGACUCCUACGGGAGGCAGCAGUGGGGAAUUUUGGACAAUGGGCGCAAGCCUGAUCCAGCAAUGCCGCGUGAGUGAAGAAGGCCUUCGGGUUGUAAAGCUCUUUUGUCAGGGAAGAAACGGGAUUGGCUAAUAUCCAGUCCUAAUGACGGUACCUGAAGAAUAAGCACCGGCUAACUACGUG